CUGGUGGGGUUCCCCUGCUAGAAUUCGCAUUCCAGGGAAUAAAUAUCAUGUUAUUGGAGUCACUUUAAACCACGGACAUGAAAAACAACCCUCGGAAACCGUGUUAAAGUAGCUCAAUUCCGCGGGAAAACCGCUGACUUGGCAACACUGCUUGUGAACUUGGU